rnacentral:lncRNA from 1 species
UCCGGAAUAAGGGGGAGCCGUUCCGGGCUCAACCUUCAUGUUCAUCACCCUCGUCUUUAUUACAUCCACUGGGUUCGACGCCACUGCUGCCACAAAUCCCGCCGCAAAGCUAGCCGUCACGUGGGUUCCCAACCCAUCUUUCAUCACACCCUUCUCCAAUAUUGUCUCCUUUAUCUGGUCGUACGAUGCUAGCUGCGAUGCCGUCACGAUCAUCGCGCGGUUCACCGUCAGUGCCGACCCUCGCCACAGACUGGCGAUCCCCUCCUGCUUAGACAUCCGCGUUAUGGCGUCAAUCACGCCCUGGUAGUUUCGACGCUGGGUUACCGGCAGGCGACCGUCAGCUUGCAUACGGACCAUGGCGACGUCGGCCGGGUUGCCGACGGCGGCGCCGAUGCCGCCUGCGACUAGCCCCGCUGCUAUCUUGCGCACGAGGGGCAUGUUGCCUGAAUCUGGAUC